rnacentral:rRNA from 1 species
AAUCGUAAAGCUCGUGCAUCCCUUACCAUACUCAUUUCUUGGUCUAUUUGAAAUGAAAGAAACACAAGAGUAUUUCGCAACAAGUCCUCGUCGCCAACAAUCUUGCUCAACAACAUCAAGGUUGAAGCUUCACUUUGGGUGGCCGCGGGCGCCAAAAACUAA